rnacentral:rRNA from 1 species
AUUGAACGCUGGCGGCAUGCCUUACACAUGCAAGUCGAACGGUAACGCGGGGGCAACCCUGGCGACGAGUGGCGAACGGGUGAGUAAUACAUCGGAACGUACCCAGUAGUGGGGGAUAGCUCGGCGAAAGCCGGAUUAAUACCGCAUACGACCUAUGGGUGAAAGCGGGGGAUCGCAAGACCUCGCGCUAUUGGAGCGGCCGAUGUCGGAUUAGCUAGUUGGUGAGGUAAAGGCNCACCAAGGCUACGAUCCGUAGCUGGUCUGAGAGGACGACCAGCCACACUGGGACUGAGACACGGCCCAGACUCCUACGGGAGGCAGCAGGUGGGGAAUUUUGGACAAUGGGCGCAAGCCUGAUCCAGCCAUGCCGCGUGUGUGAAGAAGGCCU